rnacentral:lncRNA from 1 species
GGUUAGGGGUCAGGGGUUAGAGGAUAGGGGUUAGAGGUCAGGGGUUAGAGGUUAAGGGUUAGGGGUUAGGGGUUAGAGCCUGGGUUUAGGGGUUAGAGGUUAGAGGUUAGGGGAUAGGGGUUAGGGGUUAGAGGUUAGGGGUUAGAGGUUAUGGGAAUAGGGGUUAGGGGUUAGGGAAUAGGGGUUAGGGGUUAGAGGUUAGGGAAUAGGGGUUAGAGGUUAGGGGUUAGAGGUUAGGGGAUAGGGGUUAGAGGUUAUGGGAAUAGGGGUUAGGGGUUAGGGAAUAGGGGUUAGAGGUUAGAGGUUAGGGAAUAGGGGUUAGAGGUUAGGGAAUAGGGGUUAGAGGUUAGGGGUUAGGGGUCAGAGGAUAGCGGUUAGAGUCAGGCAGUAACAGGUGAUAGCAGCAGCAGCUAGAGAGUAGUCAAGGCCCGUGAUGCUGCAAAGCGUUUCAAUGAGACUCCGUCAUCGCCAACCAAUCAGGUCCUCAGCCUGCUGCGUCUGUCUGCGUGGGGGGAGGGGCCAAAGACUGUC